UGUGUGUGUUUUGGGGUGUUUUUGCAAGUGUUUUGAGGUAAAUUGUCAGUUUUGGGGUGUUUUGGGGCUGUUUUUGCAAGUGUUUUGAGGUAAAUUGUCUGUUUUGUUUGUGUGUGUGUGUGGCCGGGAGGGGGUUGCCUGUGUGUGUGUUUUCAAGGGAGUUUUCAUGUUUCUAGUUUAACAGGCUGUAGUGGAAGUUACUGGGGUUUUCAAGGGAGUUUUCAUGUUUCUAGUUUAACAGGCUGUAGUGGAAGUUACUGGGGUUUUCAAGGGUGUUUUCAUGGUUCUAGUUUAACAGGCUGUAGUGGAAGUUACUGAGGUUUACAAAGUAUAUUUUCAAAUCUAUAUUUUUACUGUGUAGCCAAAUAAUUAUAAUAUAAAACAACAGAAUUUAUCAGUAACAAUAUUAUUUAACCCACCACUUCCUGCUCUACCACCCUCACCAUCCACAGGGCCUAAUGAUGAUGAUUCCUGCUUUCAUCCUCAUCGGGGCUAACGAGACCAACCUGGGGCUGUACUCUGGACUGACGCUGUAUGCCAUAGAGACCGGCGUGCCCUUGUGUCUUCCCUGCGGCUGUUGUCCCUGGUCCACGGUCUGAACUUCCAAGCCGGCUGCCGAGUGGGGCGGUUGAACUGCGACGACUUUUACAUCCCAGAAAUUGCAGAGAAAAUUGAUAUUAGGAAUGAUUACUUGAACUGGAUGAACAGCAGGCUUCACCCGAUGUCCAGGAGGGAGAGUCCAAUCCUGUUCUGUGAGUAUCCAUUCUUGUUCGACCCUCAGGCCAAGAUGCUGCUGCUCAGGUGUGACGCCAC